GGGGGGGUGGGGGGUGUGUGCCGGCAAUGUGUUUCUGAUUGAAUUUCCGUCUCGCUCUUCCUUGUUGAAGGCACACCGUCUAGGGAGGAGAAAGCAUUAUUUCUUCUUCUUUACGGUGAGGCCGUAGUCGUUCCGGGAUUGGGCAAGGUCUCAAGAUCUCCAAAUCAAGGUGAGGCUUGACUUGUUCGGUUUCCCGCCUCACCGUUGGGAUGUGGAAUCAGUGAGAAGGAUUACGUCGAAUUUUUGUCUAUUAGAUCGUGUCACUCCGAAGACCUUAGUCGGAAGGGACCUAUCGGUGUUUGAGAUUGUGGC
rnacentral:lncRNA from 1 species